rnacentral:rRNA from 1 species
UACGAGGGGGGCAAGCGUUGUUCGGAAUUAUUGGGCGUAAAGGGUGCGUAGGCGGUCUGAUAAGUCUGAUGUGAAAUCUAUGGGCUCAACUCAUAGUCUGCAUCGGAAACUGCCGGGCUUGAGUGUGGGAGAGGUGGGUGGAAUUCCUGGUGUAGCGGUGAAAUGCGUAGAUAUCAGGAGGAACACCUGUGGCGAAAGCGGCUCACUGGACCGUAACUGACGCUGAUGCACGAAAGCUAGGGGAGCAAACAGG